rnacentral:lncRNA from 1 species
CGUGAUUGGGGACUGGGGGCAGUGUCCGCCGCUUGAUCGGCGGACGGGAUCGGACGGAGUGCGGCAGCGCGUCGCGGCUCGUGCCUGCGAACGUGGGGGGCGCGCGUCCCUGUCGUGGCCUCUUCCUCAGCCGGUCGGCGCCCCGCGGCCGAUCGCAGCGCGCUCGAUCCGGCGAGCGGAUUCCUGAUCGGCUGCUGAUCCUGGGUUUUCC